rnacentral:rRNA from 1 species
AUUGAACGCUGGCGGCAUGCUUUACACAUGCAAGUCGAACGGCAGCGCGGGCUUCGUCCUGGCUGCGAGUGGCGAACGGGUGAGUGAUGCAUCGGAAUGUGCCCAGUUGUGGGGUAUAGCCCGUCGAAAGCCGUAUUAAUACCACAGACUACCUGCGCGUGAUGGCGGGUGACGGAAAGGCCUCUCGCGAUUGGAGCGACCGAUGCGGGAUUUGCUAGCUGGUUGGGUAAAGGCUUACUAAGGCGGCGAUCCGCAGCUGGUCGGAGAGGGCGACAGGCCACCUUGGGACUGGGCCGCCGACAAGGCUCCUAAGGGAGGGAGCAGUGGGGAACUUUGGACAGUGGGGGCAAAUCUGAUCCAGCCGGGCCGAGUGCGAGACGGAGGCCUUCGGGUUGUAAAGCGCUUCUGUUGGGGAAGAACUCCUCUGGGCUAAUACCAAGGGGGGAUGACGGUAACGGAUAAAUAAGCACCGGCUAACUACGUG